rnacentral:rRNA from 1 species
GAUGAACGCUAGCGGCAGGCCUAACACAUGCAAGUCGAGGGGGAAGUUACUUUCGGGUGACUGAGACCGGCGUACGGGUGCGUAACGCGUAUACAAUCUGCCUUUCACUGGGGGAUAGCCCGAAGAAAUUUGGAUUAAUACCCCAUAGUAUAUAGGGACGGCAUCGUUUUUAUAUUAAAGCUUAGGUGGUGAAAGAUGAGUAUGCGUUCUAUUAGCUAGUUGGAGAGGUAACGGCUCCCCAAGGCGAUGAUAGAUAGGGGUUCUGAGAGGGAUGUCCCCCACACUGGUACUGAGAUACGGACCAGGCUCCUACGGGAGGCAGCAGUGAGGAAUAUUGGACAAUGGUCGGAAGACUGAUCCAGCCAUGCCGCGUGCAGGAUGAAGGUCUUAUGGAAUGUAAACUGCUUUUGUAAGGGAAGAAUAAGGGCUACGCGUAGUUUGAUGACGGUACCUUACGAAUAAGCAUCGGCUAACUCCGUG